rnacentral:rRNA from 1 species
AGAGUUUGAUCCUGGCUCAGAUUGAACGCUGGCGGCAUGCCUUACACAUGCAAGUCGAACGGCAGCGCGGGGCAACCUGGCGGCGAGUGGCGAACGGGUGAGUAAUAUAUCGGAACGUACCCUGGAGUGGGGGAUAACGUAGCGAAAGUUACGCUAAUACCGCAUACGAUCUAAGGAUGAAAGUGGGGGAUCGCAAGACCUCAUGCUCCUGGAGCGGCCGAUAUCUGAUUAGCUAGUUGGCGGGGUAAAAGCCCACCAAGGCAACGAUCAGUAGCUGGUCUGAGAGGACGACCAGCCACACUGGAACUGAGACACGGUCCAGACUCCUACGGGAGGCAGCAGUGGGGAAUUUUGGACAAUGGGCGCAAGCCUGAUCCAGCAAUGCCGCGUGAGUGAAGAAGGCCUUCGGGUUGUAAA